rnacentral:rRNA from 1 species
CCUACGGGUGGCAGCAGUGGGGAAUAUUGCACAAUGGGGGAAACCCUGAUGCAGCGAUGCCGCGUGGAGGAAGAAGGUUUUCGGAUUGUAAACUCCUGUCUUCAGGGACGAUAAUGACGGUACCUGAGGAGGAAGCACCGGCUAACUACGUGCCAGCAGCCGCGGUAAUACGUAGGGUGCAAGCGUUGUCCGGAAUUACUGGGUGUAAAGGGAGUGUAGGCGGGAUAGCAAGUCAGAUGUGAAAACUAUGGGCUCAACCCAUAGACUGCAUUUGAAACUGCUGUUCUUGAGUGAAGUAGAGGUUGGCGGAAUUCCUAGUGUAGCGGUGAAAUGCGUAGAUAUUAGGAGGAACAUCAGUGGCGAAGGCGGCCAACUGGGCUUUUACUGACGCUGAGGCUCGAAAGCGUGGGGAGCAAACAGGAUUAGAUACCCGAGUAGUCA